rnacentral:rRNA from 1 species
AUUGAACGCUGGCGGCAGGCCUAACACAUGCAAGUCGAACGAGUGGCGGACGGGUGAGUAAUGUCCGGGAAACUGCCCGAUGGCGGGGGAUCACAACUGGAAACGGUAGCUAAUACCGCAUACCAUCGGAUGUGCCCAGAUGGGAUUAGCUAGUAGGUGGGGUAACGGCUCACCUAGGCGCCGAUCCCUAGCUGGUCUGAGAGGAUGACCAGCCACACUGGAAUUGAGACACGGUCCAGACGCCGACGGGACGCAGCAGUGGGGAAUAUUGCACAAUGGGCGUAAGACUUAUGCAGCCAUGCCGAGGGUAUGAAGAAAGCCUUCGGGUGGUAAAGUACUUUCAGCGGGUAGGCGUUACCCGCAGAAGAAGCACCGGCUAACUACGUGCCAGCAGCCGCGGUAAUUC